CCCCGGGAUCGUGCUCGGUCUCGGGCGGAGGCCCCGUGCCGGUCCUACUAAAAAGCCACACGGGAGCCCAGCGGCGGCGCCGUGCCGAUCCCAAAGACAGAGGCAGUCGAGCAGCAACCCUACAGGAGCCCCAGCACGAGAGAUCUUACCGAGCGACUCUCAAACACUCACCGCUUCCACGAGCUCACUGCUUCGGGCCGAUGAGAGCCUCUGCUGCAGCCCUCGCUCAGCCUGCAACACGAGAAACCUUUUGUUUCAACAACCCUUCGCUUCGCUUCCCUCUCCCGGCAGCACAGAGGCUGCACGAAUACGGCCCCAUCGCGUUCGCUCCUACCGAGGAGAGCCUGAAGAACUGAAGCACCCGCUGAAAGAAAUCCCGAGGAUGGGGGGGCUGAGAGCACCCCGGGGCUGCGCGAGAACUCGGGGGUCUGAGCGGCAGCCGCCUCCAAAAUGCGACGGCGGCCGGGCGACGGCGGCGAUGCCGUAUCGGCUCCGCACAGCCGGGGGAGCCCGGCGGCGACCUAACGCCGGCCCCGAGAAGAGCGGGGUCCGACAGCCGCCUGCUCCGGAGAUCCUGGCGGCUCCCGAGCGCUCACCGUCCCCUUACUACUCGAACCGCUCACCUGUUUGGGCUGGUCCUUACCGCGAAAGGUCUCACAGCAGCCUGAAACAAAACGACACCACGAGAACAUUAAAGAGAACCUCAAGGCUCCGUCCCCCCCCAAAAAACCCCGCGUACCGCUUCUCAGCCUCAGCAGCGUCAGGGCCCGACAAAGAAACAGAACUCACUCCGUCUCCUAUCCACAACCGCAGAAACUCCCCCGUGGCUCCCGGCAGCCUCCGGAGGAGCUUAAGAGGCUUUGGGGCGGGCCCCGCCCGCGGCUCCCGACGAGGCGCAGCUGCGCCCGGCCGGCCGCGGCCCCGCGGCACCUGGGAGUCGUUGCCUCCUUAGCGCAGCCGGCCUCGUUAGGGACGGCCCGGGGCUCUGACAGUUUGACGUGCGGACUCCGGAUCUGAAUUAGGGACUUAAAUUACACUUUGAAGUACAGUUUGUUACGCGCUUCUCCUUCUCGCCGCACUGUGGGAUUCAUCGAUAAGUUAAGUAAUUGUGCCAAUUCAAACGGGUCGCUUUGCAUCCGACGCGACCGGCGCGAUAGAGCGUCUCCCCUCCGAAGAACGUUCCCGGCCUUAACGGUUUCCAGGGGCCCCCGAUGGGUGCGUCUCCGCUCCGCUUUCCAUCGCCCCAAUUCCGAACAAAAGAAAAAGGAAAAAAAAAAUAAAUUAAUUAAUAAGAAAAAUAAGUCUUGUUGGAACAAACGUGCAGACCUUCACUGCUCAGGGGGACUACAAACCAAAGUAAAACUAGGGGCCGGCAAAAACAUGGUGCUCCACAGUCUUAAUUUAAUAAAACCUCCUGAAACAGUGUGAAAUUCAGAAGCCUGUGGUCGGGCUGAAGCGUGGUGUGCUGGCUGGCAGAUGUUUGGAAAGGUGCUAAGAUGUAACUCUUACUGUCCAUAGAAUUUGCUGUUAACCACUUGCAAGAUACAAAGUGACGGCCAGCUGGAUGAAUAGGAGAAUGUAUGUGAACACCCGGAACUGACAGACCCGGGACAGUGCAUGUGGCUUGAAGUGGGCACUGAGAGAAAGCUCAGACAAUGUAUAUACAUGCUUUAACAUUCAAAUUAAUUUCCAUCGGGACACGACUUAAUUAAGCUGCUGAAGCGCCCACUAACUUUGGAUGUCGCCUAAACCUUCAGAUGGAAUCCUUGCAGGCAUUCCCGUGGGGAUUGGGAAAUUGCAGUAUGCCGGAACUACCGUUGCUGAUGUGGGGCGAGCGCUCUGAAGUGCACUUGGAGAAGGACGCAUUCCAAUCCCGCAUAUAUGAAAAGUUUAAUAUUUUAGACAGCUAGAUGAAAUGCUGGGGUCUUGGUGCAUUUUGCUUUGGCGGUCCAGGCUUUGAACAUCUUAGGGAAAUGUUUGGAAAUGAAUUUUAUUUUCACAACUGUGAUACAAUUACAAGGCGGGGAUGUUUCAGUCUUCUCAACGAGGUGCCCUUGGUGGUGGUGGUCUGUAAAUGGCUACAGAACUGACAGAGAACUCUGCAAGCAUUUUCUUCGGUUCUGAUUUUAGUUUUAUUUGUUUUAACAGAGGGAUAAAACCCAGCAUUGUGCAUGUCCUUGCUCUGUGGGUUGGGGAUGUAUCGUUGUUGUUGUCGUUGUUUUCCUGGGAAGUAAAACAGGGUAGGAUAUUGGUAAUAAGGGCAAGUGGAUUUAUUGCUGAGGGAGUUGUACGCUGUUUGACAGAAAAAGCUUAGCUUUGACUUCCCAGGGGGAAUGGAGGACUUUGGUGCAUGCCGCAAAAGGGGUGUUCCCUCUUAGUCCUGCGAGCGCAGCGAGUGUCCUGUCUUCCUACUAUUUUCCUUAGUGCAGAUCAGAGCCACACGGUAGUUCUGUGGCCAAGGCCUCCCUGUAGCCAGGGCUUGGGCCUGUC
ensembl:lncRNA